rnacentral:rRNA from 1 species
AACGAACGCUGGCGGCGUGCUUAACACAUGCAAGUCAAACGUGAUUGGGAGCUUGCUCCCAUGAAAGUGGCGCACGGGUGAGUAACACGUGGAUAAUCUGCCUGGAGAUUCGGGAUAACACCUCGAAAGGGGUGCUAAUACCGGAUAAGCCCACGGACUCUUUGGAGUUUGCGGGAAAAGGGGGCCUCUGCAUAUGCUCCUGUCACCAGAUGAGUCCGCGGCCCAUUAGCUAGUUGGUAGGGUAAUGGCCUACCAAGGCAACGAUGGGUAGCUGGUCUGAGAGGAUGAUCAGCCACACUGGAACUGAGACACGGCCCAGACUCCUACGGGAGGCAGCAGUGGGGAAUAUUGGACAAUGGGGGGAACCCUGAUCUAGCCAUGCCGCGUGUGUGAAGAAGGCCUUAUGGUUGUAAAGCACUUUAAGCGAGGAGGAGGCUCUUUUGGUUAAUACCCAAGAUGAGUGGACGUUACUCGCAGAAUAAGCACCGGCUAACUCUGUGCCAGCCGCCGCCGUAAAAC